AGAUGGAGAGUGAGACGAGAGUGAGACAGACAGAUGGAGAGAGAGAGACUGAGAGACAGUUACAGACAGAUGAGAAGAGAGAGACUGAGAGACAGUUACAGACAGAUGGAGAGAGAGACGAGAGUGAGACAGACAGAUGGAGAGAGAGACGAGAGUGAGACAGACAGAUGGAGAGUGAGACGAGAGUGAGACAGACAGAUGGAGAGUGAGACGAGAGUGAGACAGACAGAUGGAGAGAGAGAGGAUGAAAUGAAGAUAAAUGGACUGUAUGUAGUAAUAGAAGACGUGUCUGAGGCAGGUGAGAUCAGGGGAUUAAAGCGGUGUCUGGAAUCAGGUCUUAUUAAAGCGUUUUAACGAGGCAGGAUUUGGAGCUCGGCGUUUGGUGGAG
ensembl:lncRNA